rnacentral:rRNA from 1 species
GCUUAGCCUUAAACCCUUAAUUACACCAAAAACGCCUGGGAACUACAAGCAAAGCUUGAAACCCAAAGGACUUGACGGUGCCCCACAUCCCCCUAGAGGAGCCUGUCCUGCAAUCGAUAACCCCCGUUAAACCUCACCCUCUUUAGCAUACUCAGUCUGUAUACCUCCGUCGUCAACUUACCACAUGAGUGACUUACAGUAAGUUUAAGGUCCUUACUCGUCAACACGUCAGGUCAAGGUGCAACUAAUAAGAGGGGAAGAGAUGGGCUACACUCUCUAUUCUAGAAUACACGGAGAACUAAUAUGAAAGCUAGUUCAAAGGCGGAUUUAGCAGUAAAGGGGGUCAGAGAGCCCCUUUUAACUCGGCACUGGGGUGCGUACACACCGCCCGUCACCCUCUUCGUAGCUCUGGUUAAAGUACAUAACCAAAUUCCGCAUAGUAGAAGAGGUAAGUCGUAACAUGGUAAGUAUACCGGAAGGUGUGCUUGGAGU